rnacentral:misc_RNA from 1 species
GCUCCUACCGAUUGAGUGAUCCGGUGAAUUAUUCGGACUGACGCCGUGCUCAGCUUCUGGACGUUGCGUUGGAAAGUUUCAUGAACCUUAUCACUUAGAGGAAGGAGAAGUCGUAACAAGGUUUCCGUAGGUGAACCUGCAGAAGGAUCAAGAUCGGAAGAGCGUCUUGUGGGGGAAAAGUGUGUAUAUCGGUGUUGGCCGCAUCAUUAAAAAAAAAAAAAAAAAAGAAGUAGCAAGACACCGUAUACACAUCACACAAGUGGACAAACACAAGCA